UGUGAUCAAAGGGACCAUAGUGAUCCACGUAAUCUAGGUGAGUUGAGUAAAACACCUCUUUAAACCCCAAAUGAGUGUAUAGCCUAAAACCCUCAAAAUAUUCCCAACAGCCAAAAGCCAUGUCCGCCACCGCAGCCGCCAGGUCCGUCCUGCGAUCCACCGCCAGACUAACCUCCGGACUGAAACCCAGAAGCGGAACCAACUCAGCUUUCUCUCCAUUUCGCAUCCCUAAGCAAAAUGCACUCUCUCGUCGCAUUUUCAGGUCACCAGUGGAGAUGAGCUGCAGUGUGGAGACGAUGCUCCCCUAUUACACUGCCACUGCCUCGGCUUUGCUCACUUCAAUGCUCUCUGUCUCUCCUCGCUGCUAUGGUUGGACUCCCGAAGGUGUCUAGGGAAGUGGGCAACAUUGCAGGACUAGGUAUAUGAUUAGUUCCCUAUAAUAAGGAAGCCUUCGGUCCUGAAGCCAUUGACAUGGCAAUCCAAGCCUAGAUGAAGAUCGAGCAACCAAAGAUGUGGUCAUUUGGAUUUCUUUGUUAUCAACUUUUAAACUUCUGGAGAAUUUUAUUUGGAAGUAGUUAAAUGAGAUGGGUCCUCUAGAAUAAUGUUGGGGGUUAAAAUAUUGAAUUCUGUCUUCAAUUUUGAGGAGUUUCUGUUGUUGUUUUUUUAAUUCAGUAGAAAGCACCUUUUAAAUGGCAAAAGCCCUAUAUGGUUCAUUCAAUGUUUGAGAAAUAGUGCCAAUAUGCAUUAAAUUUGCUGUA